rnacentral:rRNA from 1 species
GUAGGUGGCAAGCGUUGUCCGGAAUUAUUGGGCGUAAAGCGCGCGCAGGCGGUUCUUUAAGUCUGAUGUGAAAGCCCACGGCUCAACCGUGGAGGGUCAUUGGAAACUGGAGAACUUGAGUACAGAAGAGGAAAGCGGAAUUCCACGUGUAGCGGUGAAAUGCGUAGAGAUGUGGAGGAACACCAGUGGCGAAGGCGGCUUUCUGGUCUGUAACUGACGCUGAGGCGCGAAAGCGUGGGGGAGCAAACAGGAUUAGAUACCCUGGUAGUCCACGCCGUAAACGAUGAGUGCUAAGUGUUAGGGGGUUUCCGCCCCUUGGUGCUGCAGCUAACGCAUUAAGCACUCCGCCUGGGAGUACGGCCGCAAGGCUG